rnacentral:rRNA from 1 species
UGGGGAAUAUUGGACAAUGGGGGCAACCCUGAUCCAGCCAUGCCGCGUGUGUGAAGAAGGCCUUUUGGUUGUAAAGCACUUUAAAGCAGGGAGGAGAGGCUAAUGGUUAAUACCCAUUAGAUUAGACGUUACCUGCAGAAUAAGCACCGGCUAACUCUGUGCCAGCAGCCGCGGUAAUACAGAGGGUGCGAGCGUUAAUCGGAAUUACUGGGCGUAAAGCGAGUGUAGGUGGCUCAUUAAGUCACAUGUGAAAUCCCCGGGCUUAACCUGGGAACUGCAUGUGAUACUGGUGGUGCUAGAAUAUGNGAGAGGGAAGUAGAAUUCCCAGGUGUAGCGGUGAAAUGCGUAGAGAUCUGGAGGAAUACCGAUGGCGAAGGCAGCUUCCUGGCAUAAUAUUGACACUGAGAUUCGAAAGCGUGGGUAGCAAACAGGAUUAGAUACCCUGGUAGUCCACGCCGUAAACGAUGUCUACUAGCCGUUGGGGUCCUUGAGACUUUAGUGGCGCAGUUAACGCGAUAAGUAGACCGCCUGGGGAG